rnacentral:misc_RNA from 1 species
AACAAGGCGUACCUGCGGACCUGCGGAAGGAUCAUUAUAGAAUUUAAUUUUUUUUACUCCUUAAGGGGGGUUUAAAAAAAAAAUUCCAAACCCUUUUGUUUUAAAAACCUUUGUUGCUUUGGUAAGGAGAGGGAUGAAGGGGGGGGGGGAGGGUUUUUCCCUUUUCUCCUCUUCCCCCUUACCAAAGGAAAUUUUAAAAACUCUGAUUUUUUUAACUGUCUGAAAAUUUUUUAAAAUGAA